AUUGAACGCUGGCGGCAUGCCUAAUACAUGCAAGUCGAGCGACAACACAGAGAGCUUGGCUCCUUGAGUGUCGAGUGGCACAGGUGAGUGAAAUAUAGCGAACCUUACUGUGUGAUGGGGGAUAACUAAUGGAAAGAGUACCAAAUACGGCAUAUUCAUUGAGCAGGAAAGCAGGAUACUGAAGGGCGUUGUUGUUUUCGCUCGUCCGUUGUCUCGCUCCGCAUUAGCUAGUGGGUAAGGUAACGGCCUACCAAGGCAACGAUGCGUAGCGGAGCUGAGAGGAUGAUCCGCCACACUGGGACUGAGACACGGCCCAGACUCCUACGGGAGGCAGCAGUGGGGAAUUUUGGACAAUGGGCGCAAGCCUGAUCCAGCCAUGCCGCGUGUGUGAAGAAGGCCUUCGGGUUGUAAAACACUUUUGUCAGGGAAGAAAAGACGGUUGAUAAUAUCGACACCUGAUGACGGUACCUGAACAAUAAGCAACGGCUAACUACGUG
rnacentral:rRNA from 1 species